rnacentral:rRNA from 1 species
UACGGAAGGCAGCAGUGGGGAAUAUUGCACAAUGGGCGCAAGCCUGAUGCAGCCAUGCCGCGUGUAUGAAGAAGGCCUUCGGGUUGUAAAGUACUUUCAGUCGUGAGGAAGGUGUUAAGGUUAAUAACCUUAGCAAUUGACGUUAGCGACAGAAGAAGCACCGGCUAACUCCGUGCCAGCAGCCGCGGUAAUACGGAGGGUGCGAGCGUUAAUCGGAAUUACUGGGCGUAAAGGGCACGCAGGCGGUUAAUUAAGUUGGAUGUGAAAUCCCCGGGCUUAACCUGGGAAUGGCAUUCAAGACUGGUUAGCUAGAGUCUUGUAGAGGGGGUAGAAUUCCAUGUGUAGCGGUGAAAUGCGUAGAGAUGUGGAGGAAUACCGGUGGCGAAGGCGGCCCCGUGGACAAAGGACUGACGCUCAUGUGCGAAAGCGUGGGGAGCAAACGAGGAUUAGA